GAAAUGCGAUACUUGGUGUGAAUUGCAGAAUUCAGUGAAUCAUCGAAUCUUUGAACGCACAUUGCGCCCUCUGGUAUUCCGGGGGGCAUGCCUGUUCGAGCGUCAUUACAACCCUCAAGCUUUGCUUGGUAUUGGACAUUGCCAGUUUCUGGCAGGUCUUAAAAUCAGUGGCGGUGCCAUUUGGCUUCAGGUUGACCUCGGAUCAGGCGGGGAUACCCGCUGAACUUAA
rnacentral:misc_RNA from 1 species